CGACCGCGGCCAUACCACAGGCCUAAUUUCCUUACCUUAUCCACACUGCCCCCUCAAUCGCUCUCCCUCAUCCGCCGCACUAGAAUCGACGUCGCCGCCGCUAACCCUAGCAGCAUCGUCGCCGACUCACCCUCGCCGCCCCGCCCAGCGCCGCAACCCCCAUCCUCUUCCUCACCCACGCCGUCGCCCCCGGGACCCCGGCCCCAUCGAUGCCUCAACCCAGCGCCGCCGCCCCUCCAUCCCGUACUCACGACGCCACCCAAUCCCCAUUGACGGCGCCCCACACCCGCACCUCCGACCAACGGGGCCGCCCAUCCACACAUCGACGCCGCAACCGCAUCCCCCACCCAGAAACACGACGCCGCCCCAUCUCGACGCUGCCAUCCCAUUCCCCAACCACGACGCCCCCAUCCGAUCUACUGCCCACAACACUGUCCCAAUCCCCACCAACGACAUCGGUCCCGCCGCCUGCUUCGCCUCCCACUGCAGCACGGCCUGACGCCACUGCGCCACAUCCCUGUCCAAAGAUUUGUUCUGUAGUGUUCAUGCUACCCAUCAACUGAAGCAGCAGCAGCAGCCUCAGACAAGCAGAUAGAGGCUGCCACUGAGCUCUGUUCUCCCUUCGUGCUCGGUCUUUACAGGCUGACAAGCCUAAACUGAAUUUUAUUGAGUUCUUGGUUGGCAAGUGAAGAAGCUGUAUCAAGCUGCAACCAUCAAUACUGGACAAGUGGCACUUGCAUAUUUUGGUGAUAUUCUUGAUCAUAACCAGGGGCGGAGCUACUAGGAGCCUCCCUAAUGCACAGGCAUUAGGGUCGAUGUUAAUUUCGUGAAGCGAUUGAGUAGAGCAUCAGGAUUGAUGUUCAUUUCUUGAAGCGAUUGGGUAGAGUUGUUUAGCCAUGCACCAGGUUAGGCUAACAGCGGUGCACCAGGUAGAGAGACAAUCCCACGGUGGCCUUGUUCGGAACUGGUUCAUGUGUGGCCAGGCCUAGGCGUAGCCUCGUGGGCUGUAGCCUUUUGGGCAGGUUAGUUGUGGGUGGGCAUCAAGGCGUCAAUGCCCUUACGUGCACCGGGUUGCCCCUUCUUCUAUUCUGAAGUUGAGAAUUCAGUUCAUUUAAUUAGACUUUAUCAGACAUGGAUAGCCGCAAGACGAGAGACAGGAGUCUUUGCGUAAAGUCUAAUAAUGUUGAAAUAAGCUGCUCUAGCGUCGUAUUUUCCCUCCUUUUUUGCAAUAAUUGUUCAUUCCCAAUUUUUUCAGAAACUAGUGCCAAUAUACUAAGUGUUAUUCAUAGAUAAUCCGAUUUUUGGCAAAAGUUUGAUUGAUUUCCUGAAAAGUUUAUACCUUCUAUUAUGUCUAAUAGUCUAUCUGCCUCAAAAUUACUUCAAAGCAUUUAUGUUCUGCUGUGCUUGGAGUUUGGUUUUUUGACCUGUUGUGGUAGCCAACUGUAGUUGUGCUGGUAGUUGUCCUGUAGGUGGCUGGUAGUUGUGUUGUGCUUGCUGUUAGGGAGCAUGGCAUCUGGGAGCCAAAUAUCAUUAGCCAAACCCAAAAUUUAGGAAGUAUAUGUUGUUUUCCUCUCAAAUAUCCAAAGUAGCACUACAGAAUAUUUAUUUUCAUAUGGCCCAUAUAACAAUGACUUUCCUGAUACAGAGUUCAUUCAAGAAAUGGGUUCUACAAGGGAUCCAUUCAAGUAUUUGCUGAAUUUGACAUGUGUUCAACAUGAAAAACAUGGAUAUAAGAUGAAUUUGUCUAUAGUAGAGAACAAAACAUUUUGUAUAGUUUCAGCCAAACCAUUUGACACUUGUGGUGUUAAAACUAAGCCGAAAAAAUACUAGUAGUCACAAAAAAAUGUUAGAAUUCAAGUUUCCCAUGGUAGACUAUGUUUAUUUUGGUUCUUAAGCUUAUUUCAAGUUUCAAAUGUUAGGAAACUUCUUCGGUCUCUAAUACUAGGCUAAUUUUGGUGUAUUUUUCAUGUUGCAGUGACAUGGGCCUCGAGGCAGUAUUCUGAUCAUUGAGCACUUGAAAAGGGAGACUACAAAUGGGGCAAUAUUCUGAUCUCAUCUCAGUUUCUCAUUAAUUUUGUGUCUUCAAAUUUGUAUUACAUGCCAUGUUUUUAAUCCCUGAAUGGUUGUUUCGCAAAAUGUCGUAUCCCAUGUCCCCGUAUAUGUAUCACUGUGUCUAUCAUGUCCGUGUCUCUAUAUCCAUGCUUUUUAGCUAAGAAUUGCCGUACUUUUGCUGUUCACUUACUCAAAAUUGGUGCUUGUGGAAGAUGGAGCUGGUAGUGCACUAACGAAUUGUACUACCCACCAAAUAUCAACCUGUACUGUAAUGUGUAUGGUUAGACUAAAACUGAAGCAUCCUUCCCUUUUGGAUCUUCAAUUCUGCUAUGAAUGAAUAUGCAGCAGCAACCCAUCUGAGAAAAAUGACACAUAUCCAUGCAAAUCACUAGCACCAAGUCGAGUGCACAUUCCAGUACAAUCUUAUCAGUAAAUGUUCUUGACAAAAUUUCUAUAGUCCUGAAAACGGUGGAAUACAGUAUUUUGUUGAGAAAAAAGUGCUAUCUUGUUUUUCUGUAGAGGGAUUUCACUCUUUGCUAUGUGACAGAUUAACAGUUGUGCUUGCUAUCUCCAAUGUUGACGUGGAAACUGCAGAAUCAUAUUUGCACACUGUGGAAAAAGCUGGGAUUGUGAUUGAUAUGCAGGUUAGAUAAUAAGGUAUAAGGCUCUUAUACGCUGCUGUAUAAGGUUGCGAUGAAUGUCCUUUUGGGGGCUCUCGUAGAAGAAAGUUAUAAUUUUCUCAUACACUGUUAUAUAAGGCUCUAUACACUGCAGAAUCUUUUGAUUUUAGUUUGAAUACCUUGUAAUUUGUUUCUAUCGUUGUAUGUUACCGUUUGGCUCUAUUUCGAAUACCUCAAAGAUUGCUUUGGCUAGUACUUAUUCUUUCAAGGCCUUAUUUAGUUUUGUAAAAAGUAUUGAUUUGUGUUGGCUUGUGAUAUUUAGGCAAGGAUUGAAAUUUAGUAGUACAAACAAACCGUGAUGCAGUGGCACGACAUGGUAGGUAGUUCUAAUACUAUGUAUGCAGAUCGAGGUUGUUCAUAAAGUUAUGCAGAAGCAACCAUGACAGUCGGUAGCAGUCCUUACAUCUAGAAGGUAUUACAUCUUUUUAGAAUUCUUGAAUAUUACACUAAUGAAAAGAUAUUUAUGUUUCCAUUAUUAAAUAGACAAGGCGUAUAAUGAACUAGCCCUUGCAAAAUUAGACCUUACAAUGGAUCCCUUAAUACCCAUUUGGAAUUACAAAUUUAGUUCUGAUCCCAAGGGCCAUUCUAUUGAAAAGCAAUCAUAGCUUGCCAUCUUAUCUGAAAAGCAAUCAUAGCAAGCACCGACACUCUGGGAGCUAGCAUCAUAUUUUCUCCUCUCACAUUCUGAAGACUAAUUAUUUUUCUGAGUCAAGCAUGUGUUUGAAAGUAGGAGCCUACAAGUUUCUUAUUUUCUCCUGAGCAACCAGUACUUUUUUGGUUUUCCUGGUAGAUUAAAAUUGUGCCUACUUUCAAACACAUGCUUAAGUACUUUUAUUCUGAAUCAACCAGCAGCUCUGUUUCUUAAACAAUUCUAUAGCUACUACUGAAACUUUGCACACAAUUUGGACAAACAUCAUGGAUUAAUAAGAGGGACCACACAACUAUUUGUUCAGCAAACCAACAUUCUUUUAUUUUGAGCAACCUAUAUUCAUUGGUAAAUAUUUAUAGCGAUAGGUUAAAUCGGCCUUUCUGAUGAUCCGUACAUAGUGCAUAAUCUAUUCUUGUGAGUACAUACACAUUCUGUUUGUGACUUGCGGAAUGCAAAUGUACAGGGUGACACACAUGUGUAUUUAUCAUUUGGAUGACUUCAUUUUCUUUUUCAGCCAUGCAACUUCUAUGUUUGGAACAUGUGUUCUUCCGAGAUGAUCUAUUUGGCCAUUUCCUUUUUUUACAGGUCACCAGUAUAAUGCCCCUUUGCAUCCACAAGUUUCUACAGGUGUGUUUGGUGAGCUAAAAAGGAUCUUCUGCUGGGAUAUGUUCUACCUAAAACCAGAUCUUAUAUUUUGCAUUUUUUCUUUUAUGUAAUACUUUGACUUACGAACCUACAAAUGUAUGCAUGUGUACAUGUAGACCUGAUAGAUGUCCUGUUACUGGACUUGUACACGUAGGCACACAUGAUGGAUUUUCGUGCUUUUGGCUGUCCUGGACUUAUGAACCUAUGUAUGGAUGAUAGAUUGCUUAUAUAUAUACACGCACACAUUAUCUAUUAA